AGUGAACGCUGGCGGUAGGCCUAACACAUGCAAGUCGAACGGCAGCACAGAGGAGCUUGCUCCUUGGGUGGCGAGUGGCGGACGGGUGAGGAAUACAUCGGAAUCUACUCUGUCGUGGGGGAUAACGUAGGGAAACUAACGCUAAUACCGCAUACGACCUACGGGUGAAAGCAGGGGACCUUCGGGCCUUGCGCGAUUGAAUGAGCCGAUGUCGGAUUAGCUAGUUGGCGGGGUAAAGGCCCACCACGGCGACGAUCCGUAGCUGGUCUGAGAGGAUGAACAGCCACACUGGGACUCAGACACGGGCCAGACUCCCACGGGAGACAGCAGUCGGGAAUAUUGGACAAUGGGCGCAAGCCUGAUCCAGCCAUACCGCGUGGAUGAAGAAGGCCUUCGGGUUGUAAAGCCCUUUUGUUGGGAAAGAAAUCCAGCUGGCUAAUACCCGGUUGGGAUGACGGUACCCAAAGAAUAAGCACCGGCUAACUUCGUGCCAGCCGCCGCGGUAA
rnacentral:rRNA from 1 species